GGAAGUAAAAGUUGUAACAAGGUCUCCGUUGGUGAACCAGCGGAGGGGUCAUUACAGGACUCGCAAGACUCCUUCACCCUGUGAACCUCACUACAAGCACGUUGCUUCGGCGGGUGUCCCGGCGGGGGUUUUCCCUCGCCGGGGCGCACAGCCCGCCGGCAGCCUACUAUACUCUGUCUCUUUGCGUUGGCAUCUCGAGAAAAAACAAACAAGUUAAAACUUUCAACAACGGAUCUCUUGGUUCUG
rnacentral:misc_RNA from 1 species